rnacentral:rRNA from 1 species
GUAGUCAUAUGCUUGUCUCAAAGAUUAAGCCAUGCAUGUCUAAGUAUAAGCAAUAUAUACAGUGAAACUGCGAAUGGCUCAUUAAAUCAGUUAUCGUUUAUUUGAUAGUACCUUACUACUUGGAUAACCGUGGUAAUUCUAGAGCUAAUACAUGCUAAAAAUCCCGACCUCUGGAAGGGAUGUAUUUAUUAGAUAAAAAACCAAUGUCUUCGGACUCCUUGGUGAUUCAUGAUAACUUUACGAAUCGCAUGGCCUUGCGCCGGCGAUGGUUCAUUCAAAUUUCUGCCCUAUCAACUUUCGAUGGUAGGAUAGUGGCCUACCAUGGUUUCAACGGGUAACGGGGAAU